UUUGACAUGCCUGGACCGCCAGAGAGAUCUGGCUUUCCCUUCGGGGACUAGGACACAGGUGCUGCAUGGCUGUCGUCAGCUCGUGUUGUGAAAUGUUGGGUUAAGUCCCGCAACGAGCGCAACCCUUAUCCUUUGUUGCCAGCGGUUCGGCCGGGAACUCAAAGGAGACUGCCAGUGAUAAACUGGAGGAAGGUGGGGAUGACGUCAAGUCAUCGUGGCCCUUACGAGUAGGGCUACACACGUGCUACAAUGGCAUAUACAAAGAGAAGCGACCUCGCGAGAGCAAGCGGACCUCAUAAAGUAUGUCGUAGUCCGGAUUGGAGUCUGCAACUCGACUCCAUGAAGUCGGAAUCGCUAGUAAUCGUAGAUCAGAAUGCUACGGUGAAUACGUUCCCGGGCCUUGUACACACCGCCCGUCACACCAUGGGAGUGGGUUGCAAAAGAAGUAGGUAGCUUAACCUUCGGGAGGGCGCUUACCACUUUGUGAUUCAUGACUGGGGUGAAGUCGUAACAAGGUAACCGUAGGGGAACCUGCGGCUGGAUCACCUCCUU
rnacentral:rRNA from 1 species